rnacentral:misc_RNA from 1 species
GAAAUGCGAUAAGUAGUGUGAAUUGCAGAAUUCAGUGAAUCAUCGAAUCUUUGAACGCACAUUGCGCCCUUUGGUAUUCCAAAGGGCAUGCCUGUUCGAGCGUCAUUUGUACCCUCAAGCUUUGCUUGGUGUUGGGCGUCUUGUCUCCAGUUCGCUGGAGACUCGCCUUAAAGUAAUUGGCAGCCGGCCUACUGGUUUCGGAGCGCAGCACAAGUCGCGCUCUCUUCCAGCCAAGGUCAGCAUCCACAAAGCCUUUUUCAACUUUUGACCUCGGAUCAGGUAGGGAUACCCGCUGAACUUAAGC